rnacentral:tRNA from 1 species
GGUUGUGGCCCAGUGGUAGAGUGCUUGCCUAGCAUGCAUGAGGAACUAGGUUCAAUUCUUGGCACCA